UAGGGAAUCUUCGGCAAUGGGGGGAACCCUGACCGAGCAACGCCGCGUGAGUGAAGAAGGUUUUCGGAUCGUAAAGCUCUGUUGUUAAGGAAGAACGAGUGUGAGAAUGGAAAGUUCAUGCUGUGACGGUACUUAACCAGAAAGGGACGGCUAACUACGUGCCAGCAGCCGCGGUAAUACGUAGGUCCCGAGCGUUGUCCGGAUUUAUUGGGCGUAAAGCGAGCGCAGGCGGUUAGAAAAGUCUGAAGUGAAAGGCAAUGGCUCAACCAUUGUAGGCUUUAGAAACUGUUUAACUUGAGUGCAUAAGGGAAGAGUGGAAUUCCAUGUGUAGCGGUGAAAUGCGUGGAUAUAUGGAGGAACACCGGUGGCGAAAGCGGCUCUCUAGUCUGUAACUGACGAUAAGGCUCGAAAGCGUAGGGAGCGAACAGG
rnacentral:rRNA from 1 species